UACGAAGGGGGCUAGCGUUGCUCGGAAUCACUGGGCGUAAAGGGUGCGUAGGCGGGUCUUUAAGUCAGGGGUGAAAUCCUGGAGCUCAACUCCAGAACUGCCUUUGAUACUGAGGAUCUUGAGUUCGGGAGAGGUGAGUGGAACUGCGAGUGUAGAGGUGAAAUUCGUAGAUAUUCGCAAGAACACCAGUGGCGAAGGCGGCUCACUGGCCCGAUACUGACGCUGAGGCACGAAAGCGUGGGGAGCAAACAGGAGUUAGAUACCCAGAG
rnacentral:rRNA from 1 species